GGAGAGAUGCGAGAGUGGUUGAAUCGGGCGGUCUCGAAAACCGUUAGGGGCGUGAGCCCCUCCAGGGUUCGAAUCCCUGUCUCUCCG
rnacentral:tRNA from 1 species